AUUGAACGCUGGCGGCAGGCCUAACACAUGCAAGUCGAGCGAGAAAGGUCUUCGGACUGAGUACAGCGGCGGACGGGUGAGUAACGCGUAGGAAUCUACCUGGUAGUGGGGGACAACAUGGGGAAACUCAUGCUAAUACCGCAUACGCCCUAUGGGGGGAAANCGGGGGACCUUCGGGCCUCGCGCUAUCAGAUGAGCCUGCGUAGGAUUAGCUUGUUGGUGAGGUAAAGGCUCACCAAGGCGACGAUCCUUAGCUGGUCUGAGAGGAUGAUCAGCCACACUGGGACUGAGACACGGCCCAGACUCCUACGGGAGGCAGCAGUGGGGAAUAUUGGACAAUGGGGGGAACCCUGAUCCAGCAAUGCCGCGUGUGUGAAGAAGGCCUGCGGGUUNUAAAGCACUUUAGUUAGGGAGGAGUGUUUGAAGGUUAAGAGCUAUCAAGCAGGACGUUACCUAAGAUAAGCACGGCUAACUCCGUGCCAGCAGCCGA
rnacentral:rRNA from 1 species